GUGAAUCAUCGAAUCUUUGAACGCACCUUGCACUCCUUGGUAUUCCGAGGAGUAUGCCUGUUUGAGUGUCAUGAAAUUCUCAACUUCAUAGUUUUUAUUACUUUUGAAGCUUGGAUCUGGGAGUUGCUGGCUCAUAUAGUAGUCGGCUCUUCUUAAAUGCAUUAGCUGCUUGUCCGUGAGUUGGCUCAGAGUGUGAUAAGUAUCUACACUUGGUGGCUACUUGCUUGGAUGUGGCUUCUAGUUGACCUUAGGGACACUUUCUUACCAUCUGACCUCAAAUCAGGUAGGACUACCCGCUGAACUUAAGCAUAUCAAUAAGCGGAGG
rnacentral:rRNA from 1 species